CCUGGCAGGGCUUCGCAAGCUCUCCAAGCAACCGAGCGAAGCUCCGGUGGGCUGAGCGGGUAGUAAGGCAGAAAACUCCAGGAAGGACAGAUUUCCCUCCUUUGCUGAGGUGGAGAUGCUGGGUUCCUGCCACCGUCUUCAGGAGUGUCUGGUCUCUGACAUCAAAGCUCCCGGCACAGGAGCCCUCGCAACUGCCUGUUCCUCCUCAGCAACCUUCCCUGCCUCUGCUCUGCUCUGCGUUGUGGGGACUCCUCGGCUUCUGGUUUCUGACCUGGACGUGGGGGUAAGGGGACAGGCCGGCCGGGAGCGGGAGCAUCUCUCCCUCUGCCCCUCCCUCCAGGGUGCCAGCUCCUGCAGACUUGUCCCCGUGGUCCCAGCUCUGUGAGUGGCCUGGGCUCCUGGCCCUGGGCCAUGCCACUUCCUCCCUAGGUCCUCCCCCCCCGACCUGCCCCUGGGGGAGGCUGAGGGUGUCUGGGGAGGGAAUGUCUGGUUGCCUCGCCCUCCCCCACGGGGCUUUUCUGCUCUUCCUCCCUUAGUGUGCUUGAAGCCAGUUAAACUCCCUGUGCGAGUCCCUAGGUCCCUCUCUGACUAGACCCUUUUGGGUUUAAUUAUCUAAAGAGGACAAGUCCACCUGGGGGGAAAAAAAGAGAAAGAUUGCUGUUCGAAGCACGGGCCUCUGGGUCUCCAGGUUGAGGCCGGCGUGCUCGGCGUUCGGGAGGGCGGACAGCCCCUGGCCCAGCUCGGAGCCGCCUGGCGUUAGCCUGGGAGAGAGUCAGGCCCUUCUGUGUCGCGCUCUGGCGGUUCGCUGUUAUCGGGGCGACCUGCAUGUCAGGACCUGGGCUGCUAGCGAACUGCCACUCGGAGGCCAGCACGCGAAGCAGGUGUUUGGUUUUAUACACCACACACACACACACCCUGCCACACACACACACACACACACACCCCGCCCCGCAACAAGCCGACGCAGGGUAGCAGCCCGUUCACGAGCCUGGGGGACGGGGGCAGGUGCGGAGGGGCCGUCUCACCGCCUCUAUGCUGCUCGCUUGUUGGCGCCGGUUCGCACUGUCUGACCGCUGCGGGGAGAGGCGGGAGCAGAAAUCCAGGCCGGGGCGUCCGGGCUUUGGGCCGUGCCCGCUGCCUGGCGUCCCCACAGGGCCAUCCGGGCCAGCCCAUGGGGGAACAUUCUGAUUCUGAAUGGAUACACUUGUUUUCUUCGCACUUUUCAUCUCUAAAUGGGUGACCUUUAAAAUACUUGCUGUGUUUGCCUCUCUGUCUUAUCCGUGAUUGUUCCUGCCUCCACGACACCUGUCGGCAAAGCCCUGAGGCAGGAGCGGCCCAGGAGCUGGCGCGCACAGUCCGCCGUUGUCCCCAGGCUGCGCCCCGCGGCGGAUGCCGCCGUCAUCCCCGGCCUGCGCCCCGUGGCAGAUGCUGCCGUGCUCGCGCCCCACGGCCCAGGCGUCAGUCCGCGGCCGAGGAGGGGAUGAAAAUGUGACGUCUUGACACAGGAGAGAAGGCCGAGGUGCAGCGCGUUUGUCCCUUGUGUCCCGUUUCUGCAGAAGCUCGUCCUUGUCAGUUCUUUCUUCUUAGCCUGAGAGGAGAAAAUGCCACCAGAUGGAACCAAGGGAAACGUCACCGCGUCUGUGAGAAUCAGAACACGCCUGUCCGUUUGGCCCAGAGUGAGUGAAACUGCGAGGAGAUGGUGCCGUGGGUCAGAAGCACUUUAAGGAAAACAUCACGUAGACUCGCUCGGAGCCGCUCGGCUGCACCCACGUGCGUGCUGCCUUCUGUGGGUGGACGGCGCUGCCAGGGACAUCUUAACCACACCGAGAGCCAGUAGGACUGCACGCUGGAGGGUUCUGUCUGUGUGCCAACGAGGGUCGCCCUCAGCAUGGACUGGGUGCCCACCCGUCCCACCGCAGCCCGCGUGCCCCGGUCGGGAGGUCCUGCCGCCUGCCGCGCGCGCGUCAGGAGGACCCUGUCGCCUCAGAGGAGUCUUCAGCCCGACGUCCCCUGCCGCACCUUUCAGACGUCUCUUUCUUGACGAGGAAAUCGUUUGCAUCGUUUAAAAGUUUUUAAAAAAAUGUCAGUGUCAAAUUUCCUGUGAGGUUUGAGGACCGUGCGGCUUCUGGAACGGUAUCCAGAUGUGGCCCUGCUUUCGCGCUUCCCCGUCGUUUGUGGAUGGAUCUGGGGCUGCUGCUUUUGUAAUUAAAAGACUUAUUUUUAUAUUUAAAAUGCUCUAUAAUCUUACACUAAAUUUCAGUAAAUGCGGGUAUCCAGUCUGUUCUCUGUAAUUCCCCAAAUGAAGUUAUCAGACACAGAGCCUCUUUUAUAUUAAAAUGGAAAUUUCUCAUUUC